rnacentral:rRNA from 1 species
AUACGGAGGGUCCAAGCGUUAUCCGGAAUCAUUGGGUUUAAAGGGUUCGCAGGCGGUUCAUUAAGUCAGUGGUGAAAUCUCUCGGCUCAACCGAGAAACUGCCAUUGAUACUGAUGGACUUGAAUAUAGUUGGAGUAGGCGGAAUGUGUAGUGUAGCGGUGAAAUGCUUAGAUAUUACACAGAACACCGAUAGCGAAGGCAGCUUACUAAACUAUUAUUGACGCUCAUGAACGAAAGCGUGGGGAGCGAACAGGAUUAGAAACCCUUGUAGUCC